rnacentral:rRNA from 1 species
GAUGAACGCUGGCGGCGUGCCUAAUACAUGCAAGUCGAGCGAACAGACGAGGAGCUUGCUCCUCUGACGUUAGCGGCGGACGGGUGAGUAACACGUGGAUAACCUACCUAUAAGACUGGGAUAACUUCGGGAAACCGGAGCUAAUACCGGAUAAUAUAUUGAACCGCAUGGUUCAAUAGUGAAAGACGGUUUUGCUGUCACUUAUAGAUGGAUCCGCGCCGCAUUAGCUAGUUGGUAAGGUAACGGCUUACCAAGGCAACGAUGCGUAGCCGACCUGAGAGGGUGAACGGCCACACUGGAACUGAGACACGGGCCAGACUCCUACGGGAGGCAGCAGUAGGGAAUCUUCCGCAAUGGGCGAAAGCCUGACGGAGCAACGCCGCGUGAGUGAUGAAGGUCUUCGGAUCGUAAAACUCUGUUAUUAGGGAAGAACAAAUGUGUAAGUAACUAUGCACGUCUUGAGGGUACCUAAUCAGAAAGCCAGGGCUAACUACGUG